rnacentral:rRNA from 1 species
UACAGAGGUGGCAAGCGUUGUUCGGAAUUACUGGGCGUAAAGGGCGCGUAGGCGGUUCGUUAAGUCCCGCGUGAAAUCCCCCGGCUCAACCGGGGAAUGGCGCGGGAAACUGGCGGGCUUGAGUUCGGGAGAGGGAAGCGGAAUUCCGGGUGUAGCGGUGAAAUGCGUAGAUAACCGGAGGAACACCGGUGGCGAAGGCGGCUUCCUGGACCGACACUGACGCUGAGGCGCGAAAGCUAGGGGAGCAAACGGG